rnacentral:rRNA from 1 species
GACGAACGCUGGCGGCGUGCUUAACACAUGCAAGUCGAACGGAAAGACCCUGCUUUUGUGGGGUGCUCGAGUGGCGAACGGGUGAGUAACACGUGAGUAACCUGCCCUUGACUUUGGGAUAACUUCAGGAAACUGGGGCGAAUACCGGAUAGGAGCUCCUGCUGCAUGGUGGGGGUUGGAAAGUUUCGGCGGUUGGGGAUGGACUCGCGGCUUAUCAGCUUGUUGGUGGGGUAGUGGCUUACCAAGGCUUUGACGGGUAGCCGGCCUGAGAGGGUGACCGGCCACAUUGGGACUGAGAUACGGCCCAGACUCCUACGGGAGGCAGCAGUGGGGAAUAUUGCACAAUGGGCGGAAGCCUGAUGCAGCAACGCCGCGUGCGGGAUGACGGCCUUCGGGUUGUAAACCGCUUUCGCCUGUGACGAAGCGUGAGUGACGGUAAUGGGUAAAGAAGCACCGGCUAACUACGUG